rnacentral:rRNA from 1 species
CCUACGGGGGGCUGCAGUGGGGAAUAUUGGACAAUGGGCGAAAGCCUGAUCCAGCCAUGCCGCGUGUGUGAAGAAGGCCUUCGGGUUGUAAAGCACUUUCAGUGGGGAAGAAAGCCUUGGGGCUAAUACCCUCGAGGAAGGACAUCACCCACAGAAGAAGCACCGGCUAACUCCGUGCCAGCAGCCGCGGUAAUACGGAGGGUGCGAGCGUUAAUCGGAAUUACUGGGCGUAAAGCGCGCGUAGGCGGUCUGAUAAGCCGGUUGUGAAAGCCCCGGGCUCAACCUGGGAACGGCAUCCGGAACUGUCAGGCUAGAGUGCAGGAGAGGAAGGUAGAAUUCCCGGUGUAGCGGUGAGAUGCGUAGAGAUCGGGAGGAAUACCAGUGGCGAAGGCGGGCUUGUGGACUGACACUGACGCUGAGGUGCGAAAGCGUGGGUAGCAAACAGGAUUAGAUACCCGGGUAGUC